rnacentral:rRNA from 1 species
GUCUACACCGAUGCCACCCUGAACAAGCUGGAUCCUGUCUGAUCUCGGAAGCUCAGCAGGGUCGGGCCUGGUUUGUAUUUGGAUGGGAGACCACCUAGGAAGACCAGGUGCUGUAGGCA